rnacentral:rRNA from 1 species
CUGUGCCGGAGCAAACGCGAUAAGUUCACCGCCUGGGGAGUACGGUCGCAAGGCUAAAACCCAAAGGAAUUGACGGGGGCCCGCACAAGCAGCGGAGCGUGUGGUUUAAUUCGAUGCAACGCGAAGAACCUUACCUGGGCUUGACAUGUACGUAGUAGUGAAGGGAAACCGGAACGAGCCUUCGGGCAGCGUAGACAGGUGCUGCAUGGCUGUCGUCAGCUCGUGUCGUGAGAUGUUGGGUUAAGUCCCGCAACGAACGCAACCCGUGUUGCUAGUUACAAGUGUCUAGCGAGACUGCCGGUAACAAGCCGGAGGAAGGUGCGGAUGAUGUCAAGUCAGCAUGGCCUAUAUGUCCAGGGCUACACACACGCUACAAUGGCUGGUACAAAGAGAAGCGAAAGGGAGACCUGAAGCGAAUCUCAUCAAAGCCAGUCAUAGUUCGGAUUGCAGGCUGCAACUCGCCUGCAUGAAGUCGGGGUUGCUAGUAACCGCAGGUCAGCAAUACUGCGGUGAAUACGUUCCCGGGCCUUGUACACAC